UUGCUUCUUCCUCCGCGGCCACAGUUGAAGAGAACGCUGCAAACUAAGCUUCGAUCAUGGAGAGAUGCAUGCCCGCGACCGGCUUGGGUACGAGUAACAAUACUGACAGACCGAUGAGAGGCGAGAGGCGCAGGGGCGAUGGCUCCCAAGACCUUUUCCUUUGUAAUCUCAACUUUGCUGACGACGGCGACGAGGAGAAGCAAAGGGUGGCACGAAGAAGCGCCUCUGGCUCGAGCCUCCGCUAUAUCAUUAUUGCAUGUGGGGCAGCAAACCCACGAAGAGAGACCAUCCAAAAGAGGAUUUUGGUCACUUCCCGCAGUCGCCAUUCAAGGAUUUCUGUCGAAAUUAUAUGGAUGGCUUCGGGGUUUCGCGGCAGAGAUCGUCAUCACGGUCUGCUGGACGACGUAGGGGAGAGGAACGCUGGAGAAUUUUGAUUGUGGCGGGUGAGGAAGCGAUCGAAUUGGGGAUUCUCCGGCGCAAAAGUCCAAUCUUGGAGAAGUUGGCUGGCAUAACGUAAGAAGGUGGAGGAAGCCGAUCAAAAAGAUAGAAAUUGGUGGGUGAGUCUGCUGGACGACAUUGGUGGUGGCUGAGUCUGCCACAUAGGAGGCACCACCAGAAGUCACCGAUGACAUUUUCAAGAAGAUCAAGGUGACCGGGCUAAUACGUAAUGCUGUUGCCAUGGUUGUUGUGCUCUGCAAAGCGGGCUAGUUCAGGAAGCCAUGAAGCUGUUUGGAUUAAUGCGUCAGAAGGGUAUGGUACCUUAUGAUGUGAUUCACAUUGCUGUUGUGGCAGGAGUCCACAAGACAGCAAAAUUUGAUGAUAUAAGGAGGAUCUUCAGGAAAAUGCAUAAGCACAGAGUUGUGCCGAUUGCAUUCAGCUACAAAAUUCUCAUUCAGGACUUAUGCAGAGGAUAGAAAUUGGAGGAUUCAGUUGAGUUCUGCACGGAGAUUGUUGGGCACUGGGCAUUCACCAAGUGUGAUGGCUUUUAUGGGUUUGGUCGAUGGAUUCUGUAAAAAGAAGGGGGUGAAGGAAGCUGAGAAUGUUGUCAAGAGGCUGCAGGAGGGAGAUGUUUUGUUCUUGAUGGAAAAAGCUGUUGGAGUGCAUUUGGACAAGACAGGACCAUUCUCGCCAAUGGUUCUGAAGGCCAUCGUCAGGAAAAAGAACUCAUGAAGACGACGUCAGAACAACUCUCCUUAGUGCUGGAUUCUUCUUGCAUGAUCGCAACACAUUUAGAGUGCCGGUGACUGCAGGAUCCAGUAUCUCAGCCUGCUAAAUGUCAACACCAGGAGCCAUGGCCACAAACAACAAAAUGAGACAAAUUUCCACAAAUGCAACUAAGCUGUAUGUUCUCCUGACCAUUUUUCUCUCUCCUUUGCAAGCAGUUUUAAGAGAGAACUAUUUUCCAUGUGUCCAACUCCAAAUAAGAGGGAAGAAUAGCAGUUUUCGGCUACUGUUCAAAUGGACAUGCCAUGAUGAGAGGAACUGCAUACCUUGGGAUACAUGGCUAUGACCACGGGAGAUGCGGUAUGGAAGACACCUUCACAUCCCAUUACGGCAUCAUCAAAGCUGCCUUCAUCCAUGAGAUUGGCCUUCACAAGCUGAAGCCUGUCCUUUGCACCUUCCAACUCCCACAAAUGGGCCAAUUUCUUAUGGCCCCCUGCAAAUCUGUUAUUGUUAGUUCCAUCUUGUAAUCCGAAGAGAUGAGUAAAUCGAGUCCAAAUGAGCACUGAAUUCUGUCUAUUGAUGAAUGUCUAUUGAUGAACAGGGACAUGAGUUGAUGAUGAAGAAGAAGAAAUGGAGUGAUGGAACCUGGGUCUCGGACUGUUCCUAUUACAUGAUACCCAGACUGUAGAAGUCGCUUAACAAGCCAAGAAGCAACAUAACCAGAAGCGCCUGUCACACACACCCUGCCUUUGCUACCUGAAACCUCGUCCAUUCUGUCAGAAAUGUGGAGACUUCCAUGUCUAUUUAUACAUGUACUCCAGAGCUUGUUAUGUAAGCCAAGAUGGGUAGUUCAUCGCCUUUUGAUGUUCCCUGACGUUACUUGUAACUCAUACGUAUCAUGUCAUGCACACUCUUGGUGGACAUAAUCUUUUGGAGGAAAAUACACAAAACUCAUGAUAGGCACAAGAAAGACUUUGGCGUCCCAGAGAAGUCGCCAUCUUGGCUUUCUAAUGGAGAUCAAAAUGAACGGAUGUGGUGAGGGGGAGCUUCAGUAAUGUUGAUAUAGUAUGCUAAGUGGCUUAUUUGUUA